UCUUUCUAUUUCUCUUCUUUCAUAUUGUUUCAAUCUUUCUAUUUCUCUUUCUCUCUCUUCUCUUUCUAUCCGACGAUUGAGUCUUCUUCCUCUUCUAACUCUUUUGUGGUUUGUUUUUCAGGUUAUAGACUGGAUCGAGUUUUGCCGGUGAAUUUUGAAGCUAAAAAGGUAUGGGUUUUGUUUGGUUUUCUUAUAAACUUAGGGUUUUGAUUCUGUAGAUAGGAUUUUUGUGGUUGAUUUGAUGAUUUUGUGGUUUAUUUUCCAGGUUAUAGGCUGGAUCUGGUUUUACCGAUCUGAAGUGUAAACCGGCAAUGGUGAUAUGGUCCUGCAUGUGGAUUCACUUUGACUUUGCGAUGAUGAUGGGGUUGCGCAAUUGAAGAUGGUGGAGCAACUUUCAUGAUUGGAAAGGAAACCAAAUAACAAUAGUGAGAAAAUAUCACAUGAGACAUUUUAUGUUUUGGAGUUUUUAUGGGAAUGAUGGCUUUCUAUGCUUCAACAAAAAAUUUGAGUUUGCAUCUAAGCUAAGAUGUAGAACAUACCCACUUGAUGAUUGGGAUUUGGUGAUUUGCAACAUAACUAUAAUGCAGAUUUAUGUAUUCAUUGCCAUAUGCUACAACUCUCUCACCC